rnacentral:rRNA from 1 species
UACGUAGGGACCGAGCGUUGUCCGGAAUCAUUGGGCGUAAAGAGCGUGUAGGCGGCUCGCUAAGUCUUGCGUGAAAUCUCGGGGCUCAACCCCGAGCGGUCGUGAGAAACUGGCGGGCUAGAGUGCGGGAGAGGAGAGUGGAAUUCCUGGUGUAGCGGUGAGAUGCGCAGAUAUCAGGAAGAACACCCGUGGCGAAGGCGGCUCUCUGGAACGCAACUGACGCUGAGACGCGAAAGCGUGGGGAGCAAACAGG